GACGAACGCUGGCGGCGUGCCUAAUACAUGCAAGUAGAACGCUGAAGGAGGAGCUUGCUCUUCUUGGAUGAGUUGCGAACGGGUGAGUAACGCGUAGGUAACCUGCCUGGUAGCGGGGGAUAACUAUUGGAAACGAUAGCUAAUACCGCAUAAUAGUAGAUGUUGCAUGACAUUUGCUUAAAAGGUGCAAUUGCAUCACUACCAGAUGGACCUGCGUUGUAUUAGCUAGUUGGUGAGGUAACGGCUCACCAAGGCAACGAUACAUAGCCGACCUGAGAGGGUGAUCGGCCACACUGGGACUGAGACACGGCCCAGACUCCUACGGGAGGCAGCAGUAGGGAAUCUUCGGCAAUGGACGGAAGUCUGACCGAGCAACGCCGCGUGAGUGAAGAAGGGUUUCGGAUCGUAAAGAUCUGUUGUAAGAGAAGAACGAGUGUGAGAGUGGAAAGUUCACACUGUGACGGUAUCUGACCAGAAAGGGACGGCUAACUACGUG
rnacentral:rRNA from 1 species